rnacentral:rRNA from 1 species
GGGCCCGCACAAGCGGUGGAGCAUGUGGUUUAAUUCGAUGAUACGCGAGGAACCUUACCAGGGCUUAAAUGCAGAACGACAGAGGUGGAAACACCUCCUUCUUCGGACGGUCUGCAAGGUGCUGCAUGGUUGUCGUCAGCUCGUGCUGUGAAGUGUCGGGUUAAGUCCCAUAACGAGCGCAACCCCUAUUUCUAGUUGCCAGCGGUUCGGCCGGGGAACUCUAGAGAAACUGCCAGCGUAAGCUGUGAGGAAGGUGGGGAUGACGUCAAAAUCAUCACGGCCCUUACGUCCUGGGGCUACACACGUGCUACAAUGGUAGGGACAGAGAGUUGCCAACCCCGCAGGGU